AUUGAACGCUGGCGGCAUGCCUAACACAUGCAAGUCGAGCGGAUGAAGGGAGCUGGCUCCUGGAUUCAGCGGCGGACGGGUGAGUAAUGCCUAGGAAUCUGCCUGGUAGUGGGGGAUAACGUCCGGAAACGGGCGCUAAUACCGCAUACGUCCUGAUGUAGAAAGUGGGGGAUCUUCGGACCUCACGCUAUCAGAUGAGCCUAGGUCGGAUUAGCUAGUUGGUGGGGUAAAGGCCUACCAAGGCGACGAUCCGUAACUGGUCUGAGAGGAUGAUCAGUCACACUGGAACUGAGACACGGUCCAGAAUCCUACGGGAGGCAGCAGUGGGGAAUAUUGGACAAUGGGCGAAAGCCUGAUCCAGCCAUGCCGCGUGUGUGAAGAAGGUCUUCGGAUUGUAAAGCACUUUAAGUUGGGAGGAAGGGCAGUAAGUUAAUACCUUGCUGUUUUGACGUUACCAACAGAAUAAGCACCGGCUAACUUCGUG
rnacentral:rRNA from 1 species